rnacentral:rRNA from 1 species
ACUUAAGAAAAUAAGUGCAAGCGGUGGAUGCCUUGGCAUUCAGAGGCGAUGAAGGACGUGAUAAUCUGCGAUAAGCUUCGGUUAGCUGGUAAAUAAGCUUUGAUCCGGAGAUUUCCGAAUGGGGGAACCCACCUAGCAUCAGUUAGGUACUCACUCGAUAUAGAGUGUAGAGCGAACGAGGGGAACUGAAACAUCUAAGUACCCUUAGGAAAAGAAAUCAAUUGAGAUUCCCAUAGUAGCGGCGAGCGAAGUGGGAAGAGCCUGGUAUGAUUUAGCAUGAUAUAUAGUAGAACAAGUUGGGAAGCUUGACGAUAGAGGGUGAUAGUCCCGUAUACGAAAUAUACCAUGUGGAACUAAGCAUACGAACAAGUAGGACGGGGCACGUGGAACCUUGUCUGAAUAUGGGGGGACCAUCCUCCAAGGCUAAAUACUA